rnacentral:tRNA from 1 species
GCGGUCGUGGUGGAACGGCAGACACGCUGUCUUCAGGCGGCAGUGAGCGCAAGCUCGUGGAGGUUCAAAUCCUCUCGACCGCACCA